rnacentral:rRNA from 1 species
ACCGCGGUUAUACGAGAGGCUCAAGUUGACAGACAACGGCGUAAAGAGUGGUUAGGGAAACUUUUAAAAAUAAAGCCGAACGUCCUCAGAGCUGUUUAACGCUUCCGAGUUAAGAAGAUCUUUUACGAAAGUAGCUUUACCAAACCUGACCCCACGAAAGCUGUGAAACAAACUGGGAUUAGAUACCCCACUAUGCUCAGCCCUAAAAUUCGAUAGGUCACUACGCCCCCUAUCCGCCCGGGUACUACGAGCAUCAGCUUGAAACCCAAAGGACUUGGCGGUGCUUCACAUCCGUCUAGAGGAGCCUGUUCUAUAACCGAUACCCCCCGUUAAACCUCACCCUCCCUUGUUAAUCCCGCCUAUAUACCGCCGUCGUCAGCCUACCCUGUGAAGGACUAGAAGUGAGCAAGAUUGGUAAGACCCAAAACGUCAGGUCGAGGUGUAGUAUAUGAGAGGGGAAGAAAUGGGCUACAUUUCCUAAAUCAGGAAAUACGAACAAUGAACUGAAAUAUGCAUUAGAAGGUGGAUUUAGCAGUAAGCAGAGAAACAGAGUGUUCUGCUGAAAUUUAUGGCAAUAAAGCACGUACACACCGCCCGU